GUUCAGCCGCCUCUGCCUGCGAGACGGUUCAAUUCCUGCGUGCGGACGUUUGUUUUGUUGGACCUUGACCUGACUAGGAAAUUUCCCUCUCUCAUUGCAGUUUCGGGCAUCCUCGUCCGGAGCACGCUGGGCGUGGCAUGGCUAAGGCUCAGCCUUCGAACUUUGUAUCAAAGGCGUGUGAGGAGCCAGAGUCCCAGGCCGGAAGUCAUAAGUGCGAAGGGGCGUUUCUCUGCACGGUGUGCUUAGUUUUUGUUAAUACUGCACCAUAAGCGGAAAAUAGACUCGGGAACUGAUUGAGGUUACUUUGAACGCACCAAGAUUUUUUUCCGGUCUCUGGUUUGUGUCUUAAUUUCCAUACUGUUAAUGUUUUAGGGAAACGUAAUAAUGGUGCAUUAUUGUCCUCGUUUUGUUUGAAAAUCAGAUCUUCACAUAAUUUUGGGUUGGGUAGUUGGGGUUCAGAGGAAAUUGGCAAGAGGGCUGGGGUUUUUCGGGGACGUCAGCGUUGCCAUUCCAAGCAUGCUGCCCAGAACUGCUGUAGAUGGGAAGAGAAAGCUGCUCUAAUGUGUCCGCAGCCCUCUCAAGUGCUACCAUAUAAUUCGCGUCUUGUUUGGCCUCAAGACAGUUGGCCUCACAAUAGAUAUAAGAUGUGGUUUAGUAGACACCUCGUCCAGUGGAUAGGAGGAUGCUCUCAUGGACUGGACACAUCAAGUUUUUAGCCUGUUUAAUUAAACCUAGAAAAAUUGUUACAUUUUAGAAAGUUUUUAUUGAUGAUAAAAUGUUCUCUGAACUCAUUUUCUUGCUUCUUUAAAUACGUAUCUGGUUUCAAUCUUAGCACUGCUACUUACUAAUGUUUAUUUUAUUUGGGUUUUAGUUGUUUUGUAAUCAGAAGCAUAGGAUAACAUUUGUCCCAAUGGUUUGCUUUCAGUGAAUGUUGGGAUGACCGAAUGACUUCCUAGUGAAAGCAUUUUCUUUUCUCCUUCCAACCCCUGAAAUUAGACAAAUGUAUUAAUGAAAUAAUCAUUAAAAUUCAACUAUAAAUGUUUACAGAAACUGGUACAUCUAUCCUAUGGAAUAUUUAGUAACAAAUAGGAACACAGUAUUGAUGAACACACCCUGAAAUGAAUCUGUAGGAAAUUAUGGUUAAAGAAAAAGCCAAUCUCAAAUGCUUAUAUACUGUGUAAUUCCAUUAUGUAACAUCUCAGAAUUGAUAAAUUUAUGUAAGUGGACAACAGAAUAAUUGAUUGCCAUGGGUCAGGGAAUGGAAAUCCUGCAUCUUGUCUAUAUUAAUGUCAGUAUUCUGGUUGUGAUAUUGCAAUAGUUUUGUAACAUGUCACCACUGGGGGAAACUAGAUUAAAGAUAUACACGGUCAUCUGUAUAUUAUUUCUUAAAACUGCAUGUGACACAAUUGUCUCAAUAUAAAAAGUUUGAUUAAAAAAAUGCAGCUAUAGACUUGACAGCACUUCCUAUAGACAUUCUAUAAACCGUUAUUAAAACUGAAUCUCACUUAAAAAUAAUUUUUUUAUAGUAAAUCUGUUCUCUCAGUUAAGGAUAUGAAUGAUCCUCAGAAGCAAUACAAAUGAAUAAGACAUUUAAAAACUUCACUAAGCAAAAUAAUGCAAAUUAAAAUGCAUGUUUUAGUCAUUUGUAUUGAUUCACUUGUCAAGUUAACAAAGCUUUACAGUUAGAAAUAUUCAGUAUUUGCAAGGAUACAAUGAAAUGGUACUAUUCUAAACUGCUGCAGAUAAUGAAACUCAUUCUGAGAAAUUAUUUGGAAAUACCAAGAGCCAGAAACAAACUAAAUGCUCAAAAAUUGAAGGAUGAUUAAAUUUGCUGGUGUAUUCUUGUUAUAUAGACAUAAUAAAUAUAUUUUUUAAAACAAUAUGGAAAAAUGCUUGCUGAAUAAUGUGUGAAAAAUCAGGAUAGAAAAUUAUAUGUAUGUUCCAAAUGAUGUUUAAAACAAAACAUAUACAUUCUUACAUUCUUUCUUACACGUGUUUCUUGAAAAUAAAGGCUGGAUGGUAAAUAUCAAAA
rnacentral:lncRNA from 1 species